CAAUGUGAGAAAAUGGGAGCUAACACACUGGAUUCCAUCGUACUCGAAAUUAAGCGUGCUUGGAUGAGAGUAGCAUUAGGAUACGUGACCCUAUGAAAAGUACUCAUGUUGCAUCAU
rnacentral:rRNA from 1 species